GUCCAGUUCAAACUCUCCAGAUAAAUUUAGUUACUGAAUCAAAAGUAUUAUUUCUUCUGGAAAAUAGCCUCUCAGACCUCAGGGAUUGCAUUGAACUCCAAUCUUGGAACCUGAAAACAUUGGAGUUAAUGAAAAUGGUCCCAAAUUCCACAAAGGAGGAACUUUUAAUGUUGACAGGGCUUCAAAAAUUUUACAUCCAUCAAUUUAUAGAUGAGCACAUGACAUCUGCACUGCAAAAUUCUUACAGGUAAAAAUCAUCUGAUACAAAGGUAUGGAAACAACAAGAAUCCUUUUUCUUUUAAGUGGAGGAAUGGAUCAUGAUAAUAUAGUAAUUGGCUGCAACAUCCACAAAAGGAUAAUACAUAAUACACAAAUAUGUACUUAUAUCUGCAUGUGGUAAAAACUAACCCAGGCUGUGUGAAAUGCACCCAUGCUAGCUCAGAACAUUACGAACCAUAUUAAUCUUUCACUUUACUUUCACUGGCACAUUUCAUGUGAAAAAAUACUGUUAAUGAGGAGGAUCAUGAACAUGCAUGCUGCAUAACUAUAUUUGUAAAAUAAACCGAGCGAAACAGCUAACUAAUUUGGAACUUGGUAAGAUACAAGAAAAUUUUAUAUUUAAUAAAUAAUAGACAUGUUUAAAAGUUGUUUUUAAUUUGUUUUUAAGUGUAUUGAAGGAAUAAUCCCAGAACCUUUUGGUUGGAAGCACCAUUGUCAACUAACCAAGCUGUGGGAAUUGCAUGACAUUAGUUAUUUCUGAACAGCAUAUGGUCAAAAUAUUUGUAUAAAGUCAGAAAUAAUGUGAUUGUAAUUGACAGUGAGAGUGCAAGCAGCAACUCGUCCACCCAAAUGCUUGUCAUUUGGGUUCUAGAUGUUUUAGUUUCUAGAUGUUUGUCAAUCAUAAAUACUUUUUCCUUAUCAUCACAAGACAGGGUGAAAUGGCAUACAUUGUUUAAUCAAACAGCUAUAUGAAACGACUAUAAAAUUGUUCUAGAAAAGUUUAAGAAUUAUAAGAGAACAAUUUUUUCCAAUGAAAGGAUGGUAAAUUCAUCAAUAAGAGAAUGAUAUAAA